rnacentral:lncRNA from 1 species
AAAAAAUCUCAAAAAUUAUAAAAAUUAACUUACAAUCCUUCUUCUGCAUAUUUGAGCAUUCUGAGUUCAUAAUCUAUUGAUAUUGAGAAUGAGUGCCACAAAUUGAAACAAAUCUGGAAAGUUUAUUAGGUGUCUGUCUAGAGCAGUGUUUCUCAACCAGAUAUCAGACAGGAAUGCCAUGAAAUAUUUUGGGGAUAAAAAUAUAUUUCAACACUUAAAAUAUACUUUAUCCUCAAAAUAUCUUGCAGCAUUCCAGUUGGAAAACACUGGUCUAGAGAAAAAACUACAUACAAAUAGAGAAAAAAUGUAUACCAUAAUAAUAAAAAAACAAAUGUUUAAUUUAAAUUUCCAUGGAAUAUAUCAGUACCAUCUACUGGCACUUAGGCACAUUAAUAUUUUAUUCUAUCACUCAAUUCAGUUUGGCUUCAAAAUAAACUUGACUUGGUUUGAAAAUUAUAAAAUGUAGUAUAAACCUUGCAAUCGGACACUUUUGAUAUGAUAUGGAUAUUGUCUUACUUGAUGC